CUGGAUUCCAACUGACCCAGUCCGGUUCAGUGUCUGGCUGAACUGAGUCUGGUCCGACUACUGAACCAGGUCAAACCAGUUCGCGGGCCAUUUCAGAUAAAAAGCCAGUGCCCGCUUGAUAUCCAGAGUGUGCAGAUGCUUGUCCAGCUUUGACUCCAGAUGUGGAGAAAAAGAUAAGAACAUACACUGCUCCUCCUGAACUCUGUAUUUAAGUCUUCUAGAAGUUGGUGGUACUGACAAAGACUUUGUCCAAGUCUGUUGGGCAGUCUGGGCCAAAAUCAAUAGCAUGGGCAAUGCUGCAGACAGAGCACAGGAAGAGGCAAUUCUGGGAAUGGUGGGAUGAGAUGAAAGCUCUUCAUGCCGGCUACGCUGCAUAACAUGGAUAACAGGAACGAGCGAACAGCCCUUGUGUGUGUCAUCAAUAAACAUUGUGCUCUACAGAGCUUCCUAAGGAGGGGAAAGAAAGGAAGGAAGGAGGAAGGAAGGAAACUGACAGUCUGAAUCUGUAAGGAUUUAUGGGAGAAAAUAAAUACAGCCUAUCAUAAAACCACA